rnacentral:lncRNA from 1 species
GAAAAAAGAUACAUUCAAAACUGUAAAAAGGAAACAUUACAGUAUUCUCAAUUUAUACUCUUGAGAUCAAUUACUCUUGAUAUAUAAUUAAAAGGACUUAUAAAAGUAAGGACAUUUGGUUGAAUUGCCAAUGAGAAAAAUAUCCACCAGAGUUCACAUGAUGUGAUAGUGAGCUAUUAUAGGUAUCCAUAUGUCCUCCAACAAUGAAAAAAAUGAACUAUAUAGUGUGUUGUGAAAGGGUUUGGACAUGACAAAUAGAGAAAACUAAGAGCCUUAUUUUAUCAAGUUAAUACAUGAAAGCAAAAUAUGAACCAAAGACCACCACUGAAAUACUUCUGAUUAUUGUUGAUUUACUCUUGAAAUAUCAUGUAAAAUGUUUAAAAAGAUAUCAUCAAUAUUCAACUUGUUAAACAACAAGUCACUGUAUGACAGAAAGUUCUUUGACAAAAUCCUUGUAUGUGUAUUGCAUCAGAAUAUUUUUUUUAGAUAGAACACUAGGAGACUAUAUACAUGAUAUAAGGAAAUGCAAAUAAAAAGUAUCAUCACCUUAAAAAAAAGUAUAGCAUUUUAUCAUUGACAGUUCCAUCAAAAGUUUCAG